rnacentral:tRNA from 1 species
GGUAAGGUGGCUCAGUGGUAGAGUGCUUGCCUUGCAUGCCUGAGGCCCUGGGUUCAAUUCCUCAGCACCA